UACGGAGGGUGCGAGCGUUGUCCGGAAUCAUUGGGCGUAAAGGGCGCGUAGGUGGCCCCUCAAGCGUGCGGUGAAAGUCGGGGGCUCAACCCCCGAUCGGCCGUGCGAACUGGGGGGCUGGAGCACUGUAGAGGCAGGCGGAAUUCCGGGUGUAGCGGUGGAAUGCGUAGAGAUCCGGAAGAACACCGGUGGCGAAGGCGGCCUGCUGGGCAGUUUUGCUGACACUGAGGCGCGACAGCGUGGGGGAGCAAACAGG
rnacentral:rRNA from 1 species